GCCAGACUCCUACGGGAGGCAGCAGUCGGGAAUAUUGCGCAAUGGAGGAAACUCUGACGCAGUGACGCCGCGUAUAGGAAGAAGGUUUUCGGAUUGUAAACUAUUGUCGUUAGGGAAGAUAAAAGACUGUACCUAAGGAGGAAGCCCCGGCUAACUACGUGCCAGCAGCCGCGGUAAUACGUAGGGGGCAAGCGUUAUCCGGAUUUACUGGGUGUAAAGGGAGCGUAGACGGCAUAGCAAGUCUGAAGUGAAAGCCCAAGGCUCAACAAUGGGACUGCUUUGGAAACUGUUAAGCUAGAGUGCUGGAGAGGUAAGCGGAAUUCCUAGUGUAGCGGUGAAAUGCGUAGAUAUUAGGAAGAACACCAGCGGCGAAGGCGGCUUACUGGACAGUAACUGACGUUGAGGCUCGAAAGCGUGGGGAGCAAACAGGAUUAGAUACCCCAGUA
rnacentral:rRNA from 1 species